rnacentral:misc_RNA from 1 species
CUGAAGUGAGUCUUCAUCAUUGAAGCUUCUUCCCAUUGUGCUGGCUUUGACCGUAUGUAAUGUUGGGGAUUAAACAUGGUUGAAAAUUCUUUUUUAGCCGUCCCCAGCAAAUUAUCUUAUCCUUUAUUAAAUUGAACUGAACUCAUUUUGAGAUUACAUAAAAAAUAAUCUUUUAAUA